GACGAACGCUGGCGGCGUGCUUAACACAUGCGAGUCGAACGGAAAGGCCCAGCUUGCUGGGUACUCGAGUGGCGAACGGGUGAGUAACACGUGGGUGAUCUGCCCUGGACUCUGGGAUAAGCCUGGGAAACUGGGUCUAAUACCGGAUAUGACCUUACAUCGCAUGGUGUUUGGUGGAAAGCUUUUGCGGUUCAGGAUGGGCCCGCGGCCUAUCAGCUUGUUGGUGGGGUAAUGGCCUACCAAGGCGACGACGGGUAGCCGACCUGAGAGGGUGAUCGGCCACACUGGGACUGAGACACGGCCCAGACUCCUACGGGAGGCAGCAGUGGGGAAUAUUGCACAAUGGGCGCAAGCCUGAUGCAGCGACGCCGCGUGAGGGAUGACGGCCUUCGGGUUGUAAACCUCUUUCACCAGGGACGAAGCGUGAGUGACGGUACCUGGAGAAGAAGCACCGGCCAACUACGUG
rnacentral:rRNA from 1 species